CCUCAAAAUGGCCCAGUUAUAUUCAGGAUCCAAUCAAAAAGAAGAAGGAAGCAUUCCCAGACUGUGUGCUUUCCUACGGGUGAACCAGGGUCUGGUGAAUAUCAGCACUGGGACCAGUUAACAGAGGAAAAGGGAAGAAUAAAAGGGAAAAGAAUGAAGAGCCAUAUGAUUACCAACUUCCUUUUUCAUAUAAAUGAACACCCAACUUGUCUCGGCCUGUUUCUAUGAUCAGAAACUGAAAGCUGAUUGGAAAGUGGAAGAAAGAAGACCUGGAUCAAAACUUACUGCCAAGAAGAUAAGACGUGGGUACCAGCCAAACAAAGGGUUACAAGGAAAGAAAGCUACAGGUGUAUGUUAUUGUUACCUCAUGGCAUGUAAUGGACCCUUCAUCAUGGAAACAGUGGAAAACAAGGAAGGCCUGGAUCUUACCCUCAUGGAGUUUAUAGACUAUUGCCCAUAUCUCUGGGAGGCAAAUUUGCAGUGUGAUUUUGUGUCUUUCUUUAAUCUCAUUUUCUG
rnacentral:lncRNA from 13 species